AAGGGGAAUCUGCUGGAGUUCGCAAGGCAGUUGAACUUAUUGCACUUCAUUUACGCAAGUUCUUGGUUGACCGCAGCAUAAUAAUAGAUCCAUGAAACCUGCAGACCACAACAUGUUUGCAACAAUUCAUCACAAAUUCUGUCAAAAAGAAAUUAGAUUCUUACUUAGCGUCGGGCUUGCUUGCUCAAUGUACAACUUGUUGGAAGUCCAAAUCAACCUAUUGCUUCAUCCUGUGCAAGGUUGCAGUUUAGUGUAGAUGAUAAUGGUCCUAGGGGGACUGAAGGUGAGGAAGUUUCACAGUGUAGCCAGGAAUCAGCUAACGCUGAUAACUUUCCGUCUGGCAGAGAGUUGAGAAUUGUUGUUAUGCAAAAUGGAGGAGAGUACAUUGCAAAUGAAGAAUCUAAUCAAGCGUCAUGUUCAGAACCAUAUUACUUGUCUCUGGAUGAUGUUACUUGCCAAGAAUCAUUUGAUCAGAAACGUUCAAACCAACCCGGAAGUUCCGCCGCUAAUGUGGAUUACCAAUUUAAUUUACAUGCUUUGUCCAACAUUUCAUCCCUUGACUUUGGGCAGGAAUCAUUUCCUAGAGAUGGAGAGUUUGGUGUUAAAAAAAAGAGAGGCCUUAAGUGGCAUUGUUCCAGACCGAGUCAUACAAGUCAGUGUAAGUUUUAUGCGACCACCAAUGCACGAUCUUCCUAUCCUUUGUAUACAAAUUGCAAUGACCAAAGCAACACGGAAACCUGCAUUUUCACAACAGAAGCAAAAAUCAACGGCAN
rnacentral:lncRNA from 1 species